AAGAGAUGGGAGCAGCCAGGGAUCAAGCCUAAUAAGAAGGAAAACCAUGGAGAAUGGGGUUGUUAGCCCAGAGACCAGCUCCAAGGUAGCCCACAGAGAGCAGCCACGUGGGGGACUGGGUUGCACGUUCUGCAGCAAAUGUUGGGCUUGUGUCGAUUCCUUCACUCUCUCUGGGCAAUUGGAUGGGAAAUAUUCCAGAAAGACGAUUUCUGGUAAAGGAGAAAGAUGUCUCUAUUAGUUUCUUUGAGCAUCUGAAGCAAAUGACCAUAAACUAUGAUUGCAUGAGGAUUGGGAGGAGGUUUGGGAUCUGUGCAAUGUCCAUCCGUCCCUUGGGAAGUGAAAGUAGGGAGUAAUCUGACUGUAGGUGGCCAAGAUGUUCACUUUAUUUUUUUCUAAAUUUAUUUUAAAUAUUGAAAUUUGUUCAAAUUAGUUCUACAUUCCACUGGAAUGAUUUUAUGCGCUUUGGUAUAUGAUACAUAGAUGGGAUAUAAUUUCUCAUUUUUAAAAUUUUUCUUAUUUGUAGUUGGACACAAUGCCUUUAUUUUAUUUCUUCAUCUCUAUGGAGUGCUGAGGAUCGAACCCAGCACCUUGCACGUGAUAGGCGAGAGCUCUUGGGCUAAGCCACAAGCCCAGCCCCUAAUUUCUCAUUUUUCUGAGUGUGCAUGUUGCAAAAUCAUAUUGGUCACACACUCACAUAUGUACAUACAAUAAUAAUGUGUCUCAUUCUACCAUCUUUCCUAUCCCCAUAUCCCCUCCACUCCCUUUCCAUCACUCCCCUCUACCUAAUCUAAGGUAACACGAUUCUUCCCUAGUGCCUUCCACCUUAUUGUGAAUUAGCAUCCACAUAUUAGAGAAAACAUUUGGCCUUUGGUUUUGUGGGAUUGGCUUAUUUUGUUAGGAUGAUAUUCUCCAACUCCCACCAUUUACUGGCAAAUGUUAUAAUUUCACUCUUCUUUAAAGCUGAGUAAUAUUCCAUUGAGUAUAUAUACCACAUGUUCUUUAUCCAUUCAUCUGUUGAAUGACACCUAGGUUGGUUCCAUAGCUUGGCUAUUGUCAACUGAGCUGCUAUAAACAUGAUGUGGUUGUGUCCCUAUAGUGUCCUGAUGUUAAGUCCUUUGGGUAUAAACCAGGGAGUGGGAUAACUGGGUCAAAUGGUGAAUCCAUUUCCAAUUUUCUGAGGAAUCUAUAUACUGCUUUCCAUAGUAGUUGCACCAAUUUGCAGUCCCACCAGCCAUCCACUUUUAGUUGGCAGAGUUGGAUGACAUCUUUUGCAAAGUGAUUAUCUAUCUAUCUGUCUAUUCAUCCAUCUUUCCACAUACCCAACCAUCCAUUCAUGCUUCCAUCCAUCCAUCCAUCCAUCCAUCCAUCCAUUCAUCCAUUUAUCCAUCCAUCCAUCCAUCCAUCCAAUUUAUCUAUCAAUCCAUCCAUCCAUCCACUAUCUAUAGAAGGCAAGUGUGCACAUAAUCAUGCAUACAUUACAUAUUACAUAUCUACUGAACCUAUACACGUCUACCUACAUAUUUAUUUAUCCUCUACCCUUUGCACUCAUUGCAAUGUCCUGCCUGGUCUUUCUGAGAUGGUGGAUUCUAUGCUGCAUCAGUAGAGACCAAAGAGAAACAGGAAGUGGAAUGUCACCUUGAUGGACAGAUGGGAUGUUCCUUAACAAUCAAUGAGGCUCCGCUGUGGCUUUCUUGAGAAUCUGUCCUGCACUUCUCCUCUUUGGAUACAAGGCAGUGAGCAUGCAGAGUUUUCCUUUGGUGAGUCCUUAUCAGAUGGAUGCUUCUUGAGCUGACUCUAAAAUAUGGAUCGAUGACUGUGUCCAGGGGUAUGUGUCUCAGUUCCAUGUGCAACAGGAGGGUCUUGGGAAACCAAAUGCUAAGGAGGACAAAUGAGAAAACACACACGUUGUCUGAGCAAGUAGGUAGAGGAGGAAAAGUCUCUUUGGGCUUAGGGUUUCAGAGGUUCAGUCCGUGGUUGGCUGACUCCAUGGCUCUGGCCCAAGGGGAGCAGAACAAAAUGGCGGCAGGGCCUGGAGGAGGAGAGCAGCUCAGGACAGGGCACCAGGGAGCAGAGAGAGCUCUGCCACCAGGGACAGGACAGAGACCUCAAAGGCACAGCCCAGGGACCCCCUCCUCCAGCCACACCCCACCUGCUGCAGUCACCACCCAGUGAGUCCAUUCAAGUGGAUUAAUCCACUAUUAGGCUACACCUCUCAUAACCCAAUCAUCUCGCCUGCCCAGAAAUCACCACACUCUCACUUUCUAAAACCCUACAAGGGUUUACUUGAAAUAUAAGAAAUAAAAGUCAGGGUGGAGAGAAUCGUUGCAGUGCAUUCGUGAGCGGGUUGGUGGUACUCUUGCAUGGCUGCCUCUCAGGAGCCUUCGUAGAGGCAGAAGCUGCUGCAGCCUCCAUAGAGACCAUGUCCAUCACUCAUUCUCUAUCGCAAGCCAUGCCCCAGGCUGAGCCAUCUCAGGAAAACGCACCAAAACCUGGACACAGCUAGGCACCCAUUGACCCCUACAGGGUGCAUCUCUGGAAUAUUCCAGGGUUGUCUUCUCUUGGCUCAAACCCUCCCCCUUUGUCCCUCUUCCUUCCCUUCUAUGCAUCCCAACAUGCCAUGUGGAGUCCACCAUUUUGAAUGUGUCCUAUUCCCCAGGGAAGACAAGUGUGACCUUAGUUUCCAAUUUCUUUCUCCAAAUUUCUAUUUGAUUCUCUCACCUUUCUGAAGUUGUGCCUCCACAGGGCAUGGACUCCAGCCCUUCUGAGUCUUUUGUGUGACUUUCUCUUUCACUCAAGAGCUUCAAAGGGCCGUGCGCCAUUAGGAAGAGGGAGAAAGAAAAUCCAACUCCACUCCUGGAAGGUUACUUGGCAUGUCACGUAAUUAAGACUGACAUAGCAACAUUGGCUAACUCGCUCCCAUUUAUUGGGUUGCAAGAAAUAUAAAUUGGACUCAGCACUUUGUUAAUAGGAACCACAGGGAGAAGAUGUAGGGUGAGUCUUUGAACAAAAGAAAAGUUUGGGAAGCAAAGAGUCUAACAAAGUUAUGAUAUUUCCCCUGAAGACUCUUAAAUACCCACUCCUGAGAAGGUUUAAUAACCAGAUUUUUUAAAUCCCCAGGAAAGAGUAUUAGAUGGUGAGUAUUUCAAAUGGAGAUUAAGCAAAAGGACAUGAUAAUAGAAUGUGUUAGGUAUGUUUCCAGAACUGUCACAAAAUGCAUGAGAUAUUUGGUUUAUAAAGAGAAAAGGUUUACCUCAGACAUUUGGAGGUUCCAGUCUAUGAUUGAAUGGCCCCCUUUGCUCUGGGCCCGUGGGUGAGACAGAAAAUCAUGCAGGGCCAUGAUUGGUGGAGCCAAAGUCGUCAUCUUAUUGUCAUGGAGAAAGAAGAGAGAGGGAUGGGGUCCCACAAUCCAUUCCCAAGUUACACCCCGAAUGAUCUGGUCUCCACCAACUCCCAAUGGUGUCAUGUUGGGGAACCCAGCCUUUCACUCACGGGUCUUUUGAGAACAAUUGUGACCCAGGUUAUGGCAUGCAUUAUGCUUACAAGUAUGUGUUGAUCAAGGUGCUUUUAGAAAUGAGAGUGUCAUGAAUUUACCUCAUCCAAGGUGAUUCACAACAGCCACAAACUUCAAGCAAUCGAAGUGUUCACUCAUUUUUCCAUGGAUGAACAAAUUCUGAUGUUCAUGUGCACACACACACACACUCACACACACCACACGCACACACAAAAUGCACACACAGUGGAAUAUUAUUGAGCCACAGAAAAUAUGAAAAAGCAAUGUUGGUUAUAUCAUGGAUGGACCUAGAAAACAUUAUGUUUGUGAAAUACACCACCCAGAAAACGUUACAGAUAAUUAUUCUACUUUAAUGAAACAUUCCAAAUACUUAUACAAUUAAAAAAAAAAAGAGAUCAGGUUAGGGUUGCCAGGAAAUGGGGGAAAGAAAUAGGGAGUCUCUGUUU
rnacentral:lncRNA from 1 species